rnacentral:rRNA from 2 species
GAAGUUUGAUCCUGGCUCAGAUUGAACGCUGGCGGCAUGCCUUACACAUGCAAGUCGAACGGCAGCACGGGGGCAACCCUGGUGGCGAGUGGCGAACGGGUGAGUAAUACAUCGGAACGUGUCCUGUAGUGGGGGAUAGCCCGGCGAAAGCCGGAUUAAUACCGCAUACGAUCUACGGAAGAAAGCGGGGGAUCGCAAGACCUCGCGCUAUAGGGGCGGCCGAUGGCAGAUUAGCUAGUUGGUGGGGUAAAGGCCUACCAAGGCGACGAUCUGUAGCUGGUCUGAGAGUGACGACCAGCCACACUGGGACUGAGACACGGCCCAGACUCCUACGGGAGGCAGCAGUGGGGAAUUUUGGACAAUGGGGGAAACCCUGAUCCAGCAAUGCCGCGUGUGUGAAGAAGGCCUUCGGGUUGUAAAGCACUUUUGUCCGGAAAGAAAACUUCUGCCCUAAUACGGUGAGGAGGAUGACGGUACCGGAAGAAUAAGCACCGGAUAUCAU